rnacentral:rRNA from 1 species
UUUACGGAGAAAGCUUUAUGCACCAUUGGAUGAGCCUGCACUUGAUUAGUUUGUUGGUGGGGUAAUGGCCUACCAAGACUGUGAUCAAUAGCUGAUUUGAGAGGAUGAUCAGCCACAUUGGGACUGAGACACGGCCAAAACUCCUACGGGAGGCAGCAGUGGGG